rnacentral:rRNA from 1 species
GACGAACGCUGGCGGCGUGCUUAACACAUGCAAGUCGAACGGAAAGGCCCCUUUGGGGGUACUCGAGUGGCGAACGGGUGAGUAACACGUGAGUAACCUGCCCUUGACUUCGGGAUAACUUCAGGAAACUGGGGCUAAUACCGGAUAGGAAUCCUUGCAGCAUGGGGGGGGUUGGAAAGCUUCGGCGGCUUUGGAUGGACUGGCGGCCUAUCGGCGUGUUGGUGGGGUAGUGGCUUACCGAGGCAUUGACGGGUAGCCGGCCUGAGGGGGCGACCGGCCACACUGAGACUGAGAGACGGCCCAGACGCCUACUGGAGGAAGCAGGGGGGAAUAUUGCACAAGGGGCGGAAGCCGGAUGCAGCAACGCCGCGUGCGGGAUGACGGCCUUCUGGUUGUAAACCGCUUUCAGCAGGGGCGAAGCUUGUGGUGACGGUACCUGCAGAAGAAGCACCGGCUAACUACGUG